AACGCAUAUUGCACUCUUUGGUAUUCCGAAGAGUAUGCCUGUUUGAGGGUAAUUAAAAAGAAAUCUUUAAUCUCUUUUUGAGGUUAAGGGAUAUGGGUAUUCCGCUAAUAACUAUUGUUGGCGGUAACCUGAAAUUAAUGGUAGUCUUCAUCUAAGCGAGACGCGUAAUAAUACUAUUUCGUGAAACGGUUAAUGAGCUACCAAGUUUUAAUAACUUCAACAGAGAAGAUUAAAACAAAUAAUUUUAACAUUACCUCAAAUCAGGUAGGAUUACCCGCUGAACUUAA
rnacentral:misc_RNA from 1 species